GCUCCUCUCUGAAAGAGCCCAAACCAAGGGUCUGCCAUCAACAGGCAAGCCGGUCCUCUCAUCCUGAGCUACACCUCUCACUAUGUGAAGACAUUGGCCCCAGCCGUUUAACAACUUCUUGCUCUUAGGAUCUAAUUUUCUUUAAGACUCAGACACCAAUAACUCACUUCUCACUUCUCAACUCAGUGCCAGGCCAAUGGUGACAGCCCAUAGGAGCUCCUAGCAGUGUGGACACAGCUGGCAGGCAUUUUCCUCUAAUCACAACCACCUGACACAGAAGACUUAUGGAGUUUUCUAGUGCCUUUUAUCUGGAAUACUUUAGAUGAGUGUAGGAGAGCUGAAAGUUAAAACCUUCUUAGAAAUUCCACUUUAAAGCACUGGCCAGACCUUUUAGAACUGGAGUUAACUCUUUUCAUAUCAGUGGGAAAAUAGGAUGAUACAUGCCCUACAUUUAGCAAUCACUGCCGCUCUGCCAUGACAUGUAAACAAAGAUCCAUCGUUCCGAAACCAGUGUGCUCGCUUUACCUUAAGUAUGGGAAGGAUGUAAGCUCUGAAGAUCAAGAAAUACUACCUACACAUACCAAAACAUAAAUGGCUAAGAGUUUAGAGACAUGGGGCAAGGAAGGUGGAUGUUGCUUCAAGUCACACAAAGAGGUAAAGAAAUAAAGAGGUACGUUCCGUAGAAUUCACGAGAACCGAUCAUGUUUAUGACUUCCAGAUUUUGUAAUAAAUGUAUUAGUAUUUGUUCGAGUUAUUUUUUUUUAAUUUUUUAAAUGUUUUUAUU